GUUUCCAAGCAUUGUGAUAAGGUAUCUUACUUUCGAAUACAUAGGGGUAAGAAGCGAACGCAGGGGAACUGAAACAUCUAAGUACCUGCAGGAAAGGACAUCAACCGAGACUCCGCAAGUAGUGGCGAGCGAACGCGGACCAGCCAGUGGCAUUAGUGAUUAAAGCGGAACGCUCUGGAAAGUGCGGCCGUAGCGGGUGACAGCCCCGUACGCGUAGAUUUCAUUAAUGUCCUAAAGUAAGGCGGGACACGUGAAAUCCUGUUCUGAACAUGGGGAGACACUCU
rnacentral:rRNA from 1 species